CCAUUGUAAUAUAUAAAUAAAAUAAAAAACUAUUAGGAUAGGGUUUUCAGUAUUGUCCAAAAACUAAGUCAUUAGGGUUUUCAGUAUUGUCCAAAAAGUAAGCCAUUAGAGCCGACUGAGUCACCGGCGAGUUCGGCGACACGAGAUGGAGAAACCAGAAGCCCAAGCCUACUAUCGGAAGCCAAUCAAGCCGAUCCGUUACAUGUUAAGGGAACAGAGACUCGUCUUCGUUCUUGUCGGCAUUGCAAUCGCCACCGUAUGUUUCACGCUUUUCUCUCCAUCCUCCACCCAACCCAUUCCAAUUUACAACUCGGAUCCGCUUGAGAGGUUGGAGACGAGCUCUGGAAGCAACGAAGGCCAGUUUCUCGGGAAAUCGUGCUUACCGAUGACGGCUAGGGCUUCGCUGAGCUGGCUCUGGAUCCGAGGGGAGGAGGAGAGCAUGAGGGAGACCAUCGGAGAGAAGUCGGAGGGAGCCACCGCGAGCGGAGGUGGUUCUUGAAGUUGACGGCGGCGACGAGACGGAGGACUGCUAAGCCGUAGUUAGGCAGAUCGGCCGCUUCCGAUAGGAAUCUCUCGGCGGCGCGACGAGGUUCGGGGACGGGGGAGAGUGUGUGGAGAAAGCACUGCGAGAGUCUCUGGGGUUAUGAUAAGGAUCGAAUACGAACGAGAAGCUACUGGUAAUGGGAUCGGUGGGAGGAAAGAUCCCUCUGGGUCUGAAACUCAACGUUCUUCGUGUGGUGGUGACCGGUGGGGCCGGUUUGCAUCCAUCCCCUUCAUACGAAACGACGUCGUCGAAGCCAUACCGAGGGGGAUCGAAGGAACUUAAUCAGGACUUAAUCAAGACGUAAUCGCACCAUAUCUCUCUCCGUCUCUUCUAUUUCGUCAGCUGAUGUCGUCUAGUGUGGAGAUUGACCAAGUGAGGGCCACGGUUUUCCGUGACCGUCUGAUAUCUGCGAUGAAGAAGUCUGGUGAAAAAGAUAGUGAUGCGCUAUUUUCUCGCUAUCAGACCUAUUUUGCUGACUUUUUCAGCAAAGAAGAGGUGCAACAUAAAGAGGAAAAUCUCGUUGAAAUUGAGGAUCGGAUUAGCAAGUCAGAAACAGAUCGAAUCUUCAACGCUUUGGUCAGCUCUAUAGACGAUCCCAGUAGAUUGAAAAGUUACGAUAGACACUCGAAAAGAUGUGCAGCAAAGAGAGAAAAAGCAGCAGAGAGAAGAGAAACAGCUGGAGAAACAGCAGUAGAAACAAGAGAAACAGCAGGAAAAACAGGUCAGAAUAUACUGACCGACGAUGAGCUUGUAAAGCUGUUUGAACCAACUGACAAGGAGAAGCCGAAGAAGAAGAAAAAUAAGAAUAAGAAGAAAAAAGAGGAGGAAGGUCCUGUGGGUGCUUCUGCUCAAGCUCAACCUGAUGCGAAGAAGAGCGGCUCUGUGGUGGCAGCUGCUGAACAAGUAAACCAAAAGUAUUCUCCGAUUAAAGUACCCUCUGGUGACUUUUCUCCGAUGAAAGUACCCUCUGCUCAAGCUCAACCUGAUGCGAAGAAGAGCGGCUCCGGGAGAUGUCACCAGAGGGUACUUUAAUCGGAGAAUACAUUUGGUUUACUUGUUCAGCAGCUGUCACCACAGAGCCGCUCUUCUUCGCAUCAGGUUGAGCUUGAGCAGAAGCACCCACAGGACCUUCCUCCUCUUUUUUCUUCUUAUUCUUAUUUGACAUCUCCCGGUACAAGGAGCAUCCCACAGUUCUCUUCUCUCUAUACCAGGCUGACAUCAUUCAGAUUGAUGAGGAAGGGUGGUACUCAAUCACGCCUGAAGUAAUUGCCAAAAAUCAAGCAGAAAAAUGCAAUGGACAAUUGGUUAUAGACGCAUUCUCAGGUUGUGGUGGGAAUAGCAUACAAUUUGCACUAGUCUGUCCAUGUGUGAUAGCCAUAGAUAUCGACAUGAAGAAGAUCGAGAUGGGACAGAACAAUGCAGAGGUUUAUAGGGUAGCUGAUAAAAUUGAAUACGUAUGUGACAGCUUCUUUCGUUUGGCUCCAACACUUAAGGAGAUAUUCUCUUUCUAUCUCCUCCAUGGGGAGGACCCGGAUAUGAAAGGAGUGGGGAUUUCAAACUUAACAUGAUCAAACCCGUAGAAGGGCGCUUACUGUUUGAGACUGCGCUAACCAUCACGAAGAAGAUCAUCAUGUAUUUACCUAAAAAUACUGAUCGAAAUGAGUUGGAAGAACUCACUUAUCUUACCUCGCCUCCUCUAGAUAUCGUGAUUCAAGAAAACAAGAUUGGAAGCAGAAUCAAAGCGAUAACAGUGUACUACAGUGAAAUAAUUGAAGAUAACACUCCUGGAGGAAAAGGCAAAACGAGUUAUUUCAGGCAAAAAAUAGAUGAGGCCGAUUUGCGAGAGGGGGCAAAGUAUAAGCCACCUCAAAGAAGACGUUAGGGAUGUGAGAGAAGAGAGGGCAAUAGGUUGGUGCUUUGGUGCGUGGAAAAUGUCUGUUUCUGUGGGCAUUAGUUUGGGGCUAGUGGAUGGUUGAUUGUGAGAACAUUGUUGCAUGUUGAGAACAUUGUUGCAUGUUGCAUUUCGUUACCAAAAACAUCCUUUACCAAAAACAAAAAGUUCUAUGAGACUAGUAGAUGUAGGGUUUUAGUAAUAAAACCUCAGCUAAUUUUGAAUCGUAUAAAAAUCAAUUAACUA